UACGUAGGGGGCAAGCGUUGUCCGGAUUUAUUGGGCGUAAAGAGCGUGUAGGCGGCCAGAUAGGUCCGUUGUGAAAACUCGAGGCUCAACCUCGAGACGCCGAUGGAAACCAUUUGGCUAGAGUCCGGAAGAGGAGAGUGGAAUUCCCGGUGUAGCAGUGAAAUGCGUAGAGAUCGGGAGGAACAUCUGUGGCGAAGGCGACUGCCUGGACCAGCACUGACACUGAGGCACGAAAGCGUGGGGAGCAAACAGG
rnacentral:rRNA from 1 species